CCUACGGGUGACAGCAGUGAGGAAUAUUGGUCAAUGGACGAGAGUCUGAACCAGCCAAGUAGCGUGAAGGAUGACUGCCCUAUGGGUUGUAAACUUCUUUUAUAUGGGAAUAAAAUGUGCGACGUGUGGGAUGUUGUAUGUACCAUAAGAAAAAGGAUCGGCUAACUCCGUGCCAGCAGCCGCGGUAAUACGGAGGAUCCGAGCGUUAUCCGGAUUUAUUGGGUUUAAAGGGAGCGUCGGUGGCUUGUUAAGUCAGUUGUGAAAGUUUGCGGCUCAACCGUACAAUUGCCGUUGAAACUGGCAUUCUUGAGUACGGUAGAGGUGUGCGGAAUUCGUGGUGUAGCGGUGAAAUGCUUCGAUAUCACGCAGAACUCCGAUUGCGAAGGCAGCUCACUGGACUGCAACUGACACUGAGGCUCGAAAGUGUGGGUAUCAAACAGGAUUAGCUACCCUUGUAGUC
rnacentral:rRNA from 1 species